rnacentral:antisense_RNA from 19 species
CACCGACAUCAAUGAUUCGUUCUGCGAACCAUGGCCAACCGCCAGAUAAGAGUGCAUACCCAGCUCUUUCAUCUGCUGUUCGCCAAUGACGCGAGUGACGAUAUUGGUGCUGAACGCAUCGGCCAGUUGACGCGCCUGUGACGCCAAAUACGCGGCGUUACAGAUAUUGGGCGGCAUAUUGCCCAAGUCUUUGGC